AAAUAUUCCCUCUUUUGCCGCACACAUAUUCACCCACAAUUUCCCAAAGGAUUCUUCUAUGCCACGGUAAGUCAUAGAAGAACUAGGGUUUCUUGAUUCAUCUAUCGCAUUGUCGUCUCUCUCACUACACCAGCCAAUAUCACUUAGUAAUCUCUCUCUACUCUCUCUAUUUCUAUCUCUUUUUCUUUAGGUAUUAAUUUCUUAUUGUUGAUGGCCGUUCUAAAAUCUAGAAGUCACAAAUAAACUUCAAAAUUGAUAGAUACAAGUAAAUAUGCAUUUAAUUUGGUCAUGGUAAGUACAAUUUAUAUACCAAUAAUUACCUUCAUUUUAUUGUAGGAGAAUUUACUUCUUUUUUCCCAGACAAAAAUAAAGCAGUGAUGGUGAAUCAUUUGUAUAUAGAUUACAAUUGGUAUUUCACGGAGAUUUUUGUUGGAGCAAUUUUUCCUUUUAUGUUACCAUGGCAUUAUUGUAAGGUAAACUAGAUUUCCUUGUGGUAAUGUUUCUUUCACAUAAAAGUUUUUUCUAAAAGAUGGAUGUUUGAAAAUUAGUAAAUUUCUUUCAUUAUAGUUUUUCAACAAAAAUAAUAUUUUCCAGUGUAAACUUGGAAUGAAAUUGGUCACUUCACUGUUAAAUUUGAAAAAUAAAUAUACUCUAAAUUUGUCUAAUUACAUAACUAAAUCGUUUAAAGCAAUUGUUUAACCUGUUACUAGUAUUUUUUUUAUAUUUAGAAAAUAUAUAGUUGUAGUUAUCCUCAUGUUCAUAUGACAAAAACAUUCAUUUUAACAUAUUAGUCAAAUUCAUUUAGUUUGAGUUUUAGAAAUAGGAAAGUCAAGCAUGUUGGAACAUAUGAGAGUAUUACCCGAAUAUUGAAAUGGGUACAGAGACUUAUGUACUCAUUUGAUAGAAAUUUUACGUGUUUUCUUUUGGUUAUUUAGCCCAAUGUGAGAUUUAAACUUGUUAGUUUCAUUAUCUUUCAGUUUCAGGCCCUACGUGAAGUAGUUGAAGAAGAGGGAGAAUGGUGGAAAUUCGGAUAUGAGAAAUCAUAAGUAUCACUGAGUUCUAAGAAAGUGAUUCCUCCUUAUUGCUGUAUGAGGUACUCUGGCUUUUCUAUAAGCUUAUGCUUAUAUGUCCAAAUGACUGUUAAAUCUAUUUAUCGGUAAUAAACCAAGUCUAUAUUCUCUCACAUCUAAAAGUAUGCAUAGUAAUUUUAGUUAUAAGAUGAUUUGGUUAGAAUACUUUUCACUUGGUUGACUUCGGUUGAAUUAGUUUCAAGUAUCAUGGAUGCAUCUAUCAAGCCUGUGUACAAGGUUUUGCAGAUAUUCUUUUAGUAAAUGUUAUCGAUCUAUCUUACUAUGAAGUGGCAGAUCUGGAACUGCUUGAAAAAACGAACUUUGUCUGUCCCUAUUUAUGUGAUGCACUUUCCUUUUUAGUUUGUAUAAAAAAGAAUGAUACCUUAUAAUAUUUAGAAAUAAUUUAAUUUUAAACCUACCAUUUUACCCUUAAUGAGAUGAUAUAUAGCCACACAAAUAUCUAUGACAUAUUUUAUACUACAAAUUUCGGAAGUCUUUCUUUCUCAAACUUCGUGCCUAGUCAAAGUGCAUCACAUAAACUAGGAUGGAGGAGUAAUUUAUUAUAUCGUAUGUCUAAUUAUAUUAUUUUGUUGAAGAAUUCCUCAAUUGAAAAGGAUUAACAUAAUUUUGCUAAUGUUUGCAGGAUGUUAAGUUGCUUUUCAGUUACAUUACUAUUUGCAUUUUCCUAAGUUAUCGUACAUUUUAUGUGCUUUUGGUUAUCUUUGGUUCGUGCGCAUAUGAGUCCUGUGUGACAAGAAAGUACCACCGAAACUUAAAGGAAGACACUGUCACUUGGAAGUAACAUAAGAAUUAAUAAUUUCAUCAUGAAUUCCUUUUAAGCUUUACUACUAAUAUCAGAGGUGAGAACAAGAUAAAUUUUUCAUGAAAAUUCAGUGAAUAUGUUGCAUUCUUGUCUUUCUGUGGUAAGAUAUGAAAGGAUUAAUUUAGCUUUGCUUAAGUAAGUAGUUAGUAAAUAUGUUGCAUUCUUGUCUUUUGUGGUAAGAUAUGAAAGGAAUAAUUCAGCUUUAUUUUUAUACUGACUUAGUACCAUCUUGGUAGUAGGAUAUUAUUAAUUAAUUACCUUUACUUAUCAAUUUUAGUUUGGUGGUUAGCUAUUUUGAUCAUUCUCCAUAUGUGUGAUGAGAUUCAAUCUUGUUUUGCUCUUCCAUCAGAUUGACUUUUUCUGCUAGUAAAUAUGUUUUCAUGACCUGAAAACCGUGUUUGUGAAGUUGCAGUUUAUUGAUCUUGUAGUAUAUUCAAUAGAUAUAUAGCAUCUGCUUGCUACUAAGAAACAAUUAAUAUUUAAUUCAUAGCAAGUUGAACUUGAUGUAUUUGAUUUGUGAAGUUUUCAUUUGUUAGAUAAUAUUCAUACUGAAGAUCAUGACAAUACACUUUGUCUGCAGAUCAUGGACGUGCAAGCCUAGAUAAAUCACAAAAAAUAUUGAUGCAACUAACGCAAGGGAUCAUGGGAACUUCAAUGUCAUGACCAAAUUCUCUUUUAGUGAACAAAUUGUCACUCUUUUAUUAAUAUUUCACUGAACCAUAGUCAUAUUUAGUAUGCUAAUUGUUCAUUUAUGAAUUUCAGAUCUGGUUUCAAAAAUGCAUUAAUAGCAUGCACAAAACUUGUAUCAUGUUGGUGCAAUUUGAGAAGUUGAUCUAGUGAAAUGUAGCUCAUUAUCCUGGUGCAUAAUAAGGUUUGAUCUGGUGCAAUCUAGCCCAUCAUUUCGGUUUACAAAUGGAUCUUUAAGCUUGUGCAAGUACGUGUGGCACAUAUGGAAAACUUCCAUAUGAUCAAGGAAUGAAGAAAUUUGUUAGACGUGAAAAUGUAUUGGAUUCAAAUUAUUUUCCUCCUCUUAUGUAUUUACACUUUCAAACGAUAAAUUAGCAGUUGUAUUUGUUUUGAAUGUAAUGAAAUACAUUUUGCUUCAAUGGAUUUGACAUUAGCAUG
rnacentral:lncRNA from 1 species